GUCUACAGCUAUGCCACCCUGAACAGGCUCAAUCCCGUUUGAUCUCGGAAGCUAAGCAGGGUCGAGCCUGGUUAGUACUUGGAUGGGAGACCACGUAGGAAGACCAGGUGCUGUAGGUG
rnacentral:rRNA from 1 species